rnacentral:rRNA from 1 species
GACGAACGCUGGCGGCGUGCUUAACACAUGCAAGUCGAACGGAAAGGCCCUGCUUUUGUGGGGUGCUCGAGUGGCGAACGGGUGAGUAACACGUGAGUAACCUGCCCUUGACUUUGGGAUAACUUCAGGAAACUGGGGCUAAUACCGGAUAGGAGCUCCUGCUGCAUGGUGGGGGUUGGAAAGUUUCGGCGGUUGGGGAUGGACUCGCGGCUUAUCAGCUUGUUGGUGGGGUAGUGGCUUACCACGGCUUUGACGGGUAGCCGGCCUGAGAGGGUGACCGGCCACAUUGGGACUGAGAUACGGCCCAGACUCCUACGGGAGGCAGCAGGGGGGAAUAUUGCACAAUGGGCGGAAGCCUGAUGCAGCAACGCCGCGUGCGGGAUGACGGCCUUCGGGUUGUAAACCGCUUUCGCCUGUGACGAAGCGUGAGUGACGGUAAUGUGUAAAGAAGCACCGGCUAACUACGUG